rnacentral:rRNA from 1 species
GAUGAACGCUGGCGGCGUGCCUAAUACAUGCAAGUCGAGCGAACGGACGAGAAGCUUGCUUCUCUGAUGUUAGCGGCGGACGGGUGAGUAACACGUGGAUAACCUACCUAUAAGACUGGGAUAACUUCGGGAAACCGGAGCUAAUACCGGAUAAUAUUUUGAACCGCAUGGUUCAAAAGUAAAAGACGGUCUUGCUGUCACUUAUAGAUGGAUCCGCGCUGCAUUAGCUAGUUGGUAAGGUAACGGCUUACCAAGGCAACGAUGCAUAGCCGACCUGAGAGGGUGAUCGGCCACACUGGAACUGAGACACGGUCCAGACUCCUACGGGAGGCAGCAGUAGGGAAUCUUCCGCAAUGGGCGAAAGCCUGACGGAGCAACGCCGCGUGAGUGAUGAAGGUCUUCGGAUCGUAAAACUCUGUUAUUAGGGAAGAACAUAUGUGUAAGUAACUGUGCACAUCUUGACGGUACCUAAUCAGAAAGCCACGGCUAACUACGUGCCAGCAGCCGCGGUAAUACGUAGGUGGCAAGCGUUAUCCGGAAUUUAUGGGCGUAAAGCGCGCGUAGGCGGUUUUUUAAGUCUGAUGUGAAAGCCCACCGGCUCACCGUGGAGGGUCAUUGGAAACUGGAAAAACUUGAGUGCAGAAGAGGAAAGUGGAAUUUCAUGGGUAGCGGUGAAAUGCGCAGAGAUAUGGAGGGANCACCAGUGGCGAAGGCGACUUUCUGGUCUGUAACUGACGCUGAUGUGCGAAAGCGUGGGACCAAACAGGAUUAGAUACCCUGGUAGUCCACGCCGUAAACGAUGAGUGCUAAGUGUUAGGGGGUUUCCGCCCCUUAGUGCUGCAGCUAGCGCAUUAAGCACUCCGCCUGGGGAGUACGACCGCAAGGUUGAAACUCAAAGGAAUUGACGGGGACCCGCACAAGCGGUGGAGCAUGUGGUUUAAUUCGAAGCAACGCGAAAAACCUUACCAAAUCUUGACAUCCUUUGACAACUCUAGAGAUAGAGCCUUCCCCUUCGGGGGACAAAGUGACAGGUGGUGCAUGGUUGUCGUCAGCUCGUGUCGUGAGAUGUUGGGUUAAGUCCCGCAACGAGCGCAACCCUUAAGCUUAGUUGCCAUCAUUAAGUUGGGCACUCUAAGUUGACUGCCGGUGACAAACCGGAGGAAGGUGGGGACGACGUCAAAUCAUCAUGCCCCUUAUGAUUUGGGCUACACACGUGCUACAAUGGACAAUACAAAGGGCAGCGAAACCGCGAGGUCAAGCAAAUCCCAUAAAGUUGUUCUCAGUUCGGAUUGUAGUCUGCAACUCGACUACAUGAAGCUGGAAUCGCUAGUAAUCGUAGAUCAGCAUGCUACGGUGAAUACGUUCCCGGGUCU